GGAAAAUCAUGGGAGGGUUGUACACAUAUGUACAUUCCAGCAUGCAUCAGUAAACACUAUGUUACGCUGGAGAUCGUUUUUGCUGACUCGACUAUAUAUGUGUACGACCCAGAUCAUUCAUGUUUGACACAAGGCCAGUUGAAGCAAAACCUGGAGUCCGUGGCUGUAAUUGUUCCUAUGAUGGCCGAACGAGCAGGGAUAAAUGUACAGGAUAGAUUGCGGAUUGUUCA
rnacentral:lncRNA from 1 species